rnacentral:misc_RNA from 1 species
AUGGUUCUAUUUCUGCUCCGUCGAAUACAAUUUUUAUCAGCACUGGAAAGAAAUUUAUGUCCAUUGUCAAGGAUAUACUGGACCAGCUAACACCAUUGGCUAUUUUGCACUUUGGAGGAGCAAUUUUGAGCAAGCUCCUUCAGCUUUUCGAUAAAUAUGUGGAAACAUUAAUCAAAGCACUACCCGGCGCUUCUGAAGACGAUAACCUUUUGGAACCCAGAGAGUCUGUUGACUUCAGGGCUGAAACUGAUGCUCAACAACUUGCGCUUUUAGGAACCGCAUUUACUGUUGCUGAUGAACUGUUGCCGAUGGCUGUUUCCAAAAUUUUUACCCCGCACAAAGAAAAUAAGGAAAUGGAGAGUGGAUCCUCUGAAAGCAUUGGCCCUGUUGCCUUCAGU